rnacentral:pre_miRNA from 11 species
ACUUUUUUAUGAAUUCUUGUGAGACCUUUGGCUACAACACAGAACAUGGGCGCUUUCUUGGACCCUCGUGUCUUGUGUUGCAGCCAGAGGGGCACAUCUUGGCA